CACUCACGCCCACCUGCUGCGAUGGGUACCUUGGGUCCAUUUAGCCUGUUCUUGCUUUUUGCGUUGUCUCAGCAGAACGUCUUCGUAGCCGCCAGCGACGUGCUCGGGAAUUCUGAUUUCGAUUACACGGUAGCAGAGUACGAGACUGUUGGAGUUCUUCGCUAAUGAAUUAGCACGCACGAACGACAGCCAUCUAAACAUGUUUAGUGUGGUCACCGCCAGCAACUAGCCCCAGAAUAUGAAACUGCAGCAACAAAACGAAAAGGGACAGUGUCUUUAGCUAAAGUAGACUGCACAGUGAACUCUGAGACGUGUGGACGUUUUGGCGUCAAUGGGAACCCCACCACACUCAAAAUCUUCCGCAACGGAGAGGACUUUGCUGCUUAUGAUGGACCCAGGAGUGCAGCUUCAUGAAAAAACAGGCAGGUCCCAGUUCCAUUCCUCUGCACAGAGACCUGGAUGCAUUCAUCAACAAUUUUGAAGCCAGUGUGGUUGAACGGUGGUGCUCUUCCGGCCCCCACGACUCAACAGCAAGUUUGAGGACAGCAUGAUGAUGGCAUGGGGCAAAUUCACCUAGUCCCUAUAAACCUGAUGGCCAGCUGGUGAAGGCCACAGCACGGGGACAGAAACUUCUCUUACCUGAUACCCACCUCUCUCUUUUUCUCUCUCCAUCACUUUCACUACCCCUUCUCUCUCCCUAGGGUGAUGAAAGUGACCACUCAGUUCCAGUCUCAGGGACUGAGUUACGCUGUGGCCAACAGAGCAGAGUUCCAGGAUGAGCUGGAGGAGGAGUUUGGCCCGGGGCCGUCCGACGGGGGAAAGUUGUCUCUCAUCACCAUCAGGAACAGGGAGGGCCACAAGUACAGCAUGCAGGAGGAGUUCACAUGAGUUACGACAACACAUGACCAUCACAGACCCUUCCUUAUGCAGUCUGGCCAGCUGUCACACUGCUAAUCUGUCCAUCCAUUGCAGACGGGACGGGAAAUCCCUGGAGAGGUUCUUGGAGGACUACUUUGCUGGUAAACUGAAGAGACCGGUCUGCUAUUUUAAUCUCAUCUGUUGUUGUCCUUCUUCCCAGUUUCCCCGCUAUUUUCUUUGUCUCAGCAGGACAGAAGGACCAACCUCGGAUAUACAAGGGUGGCCAUGAGGUGAAUGAUUUCCUCAACUAUCUGAAGGAGGUGGCCACACAUCCCCUUGUCCUGGGCACUGCCAGAGAAGACUUGUGAGAGCGCAAUGAAGAGAGAGAAGAAAAAACAAGGGAUGAGUGGGUGGACUGGCAAAGAAGCAGAAGACAUGAACUAUAAGGGGGAAAAAGGAGCCAUCCAUUGCAAUACACAGUUUCCGACCAGAAGAUCUCCUUUGGGUUUCUCUGACUUACCAGCAACACUGAAUACUCAUAACAUAGAGGACUUCUACAUUUAAAAAUCUGCAGUUUUUUCCAUGGGGCUUCAAAAGAGUAAUGUUCUCAAUGUGAGAGGAUGGAGCAUCUGCAAGUACAGUAAUAGGCAACACGUGCAGAUUGGUUUUGCAGUUAAACUGGUGACUUGGUGGUUGCUAUUAAUAUUCCCAAGAAAGGCAUACUAGUGUAGCGUCCUUGACUCUGAGUAAGGUACCUCAGUCAGACUAUAGAUAAAUGUAGAAAAGGAAAAAUUAUGUGCAACAGUUUAUGCAAAGUUGCUUACGGGUACAAAUAAAAAAGUGCCUGCUCAGCAAAUAGAUAAAAAUAGAAUCAAAUGUCUGAUACAGGGGCCUCCCGAGUGGUGCAGCGGUCUAAGGCACUGAGGCGUCACUACAGACCCGGGUUAGAUCCCGGGCUGUAUCACAACCGGUCGUUAUUGGGAGUCUCAUAGGGCGGGGCACAAUUGUCCCAGCGUUGUCCGGGCAAGGGGAGGGUUUGGCCGGAGGGCUUUACUUGGCUCAUCACGGUCUAGCGACUCCUUGUGGCUGGCCGGGUGCCUGCAGGCUGACCUCUGUUGUCAGUUGUGUUUCCUCUGGUGUUUCAAAGGUUGUUUCCUCUGACACAUUGGUGCAGCUGGCUUCGGGGUUAAGUGGGUGUGUUUUAAGAAGCGAGGUAGGUGGGUCAUGUUUCGGGGGAUGACUCUACCUUUGCCUCCCGAGCUCUUGAGGGAGUUGCAGCGAUGAGGGAGAAAAAAGGGGAAACAAACAAAAAGUAACAAAAUAUCUGAUACAAAAAGAUUUACACAAGAAAAUAAAUUUGACAUUACAUUUUGGUCAUUUAGCAUGUGGUUUCCCAAACUCGGUCCUUGGGCCCCCCUGCGUGCAGUUUUUUCGCCCCUAGCACGACACAGUUUUCUCAAAUAGUUGAAGCUUGAUGAUGAGUUGGUUAUUUGAAUCAGCUGUGUAGUGCAAGGGCAAAAAACAAAAUGAGUUUGGGAAACUGUGUCUUAGCAGACACACUUAUCCAGUUUUGUGUGAAAAUAGGGUGAAGACUACUGAAGCACUAUGGACAGGCUUAGAUUUCAGUUGGACUUUUAUGCCAAGAAUCUCAUCUGGGUAUGUCUUUCUUUUUGACAUACAUUUGCACACUUUUGUGCAUCUUCCAUAAAUGCUCUUGAGGAGAGGCAACCUAGUUGGGCCAGUAACCGAAAGGUUGCUGGAUUGAAUCCCCGACCUAAUAAGGUACAAAUCUGAAGUUCUGCCCCUGAACAAGGCAGUUAACCCACUGUGCCCCGGUUGGCCGUCAUUGUAAAUAAGAAUUUGUUCUUAUUAACUGACUUGUCUAG